AUACGUAGGUGGCAAGCGUUGUCCGGAAUUAUUGGGCGUAAAGCGCAUGUAGGCGGUAAUUUAAGUCUGUCGUGAAACUGCGGGGCUCAGCCCCGUAUGGCGAUGGAAACUGGGUUACUUGAGUGCAGGAGAGGAAAGGGGAACUCCCAGUGUAGCGGUGAAAUGCGUAGAUAUUGGGAAGAACACCGGUGGCGAAGGCGCUUUUCUGGACUGGGUGUCACGCUGAGAUGCGAAAGCCAGGGUAGCGAACGGGAUUAGAUACCCCGGUAGUCCUGGCCGUAACCGAUGGGUACUAGGUGUGGGAGGUAUCGACCCCUUCCGUGCCGGAGUUAGCGCAAUAAGUACCCCGCCUGGGGAGUACGGCCGCAAGGCUUAAACUCAAAGGAAUUGACGGGG
rnacentral:rRNA from 1 species